AACGCACCUUGCGCUCCUUGGUAUUCCGAGGAGCAUGCCUGUUUGAGUGUCAUUAAAUUCUCAACCUUUCCAGCUUUUGCGAGUUGGAUUGGCUUGGAUGUGGAGGGUUUUGCAGGCUUCUCAGAAGUCAGCUCCUCUUAAAUGCAUUAGCAGAACCUUUGUGGACCAGCUUUGGUGUGAUAAUUAUCUAUGCCAUGGUUGUGAAGCAGCUUAUAUAUGGGGUUCAGCUUCUAACAGUCCAUUGACUUGGACAAUUUCUGACAUUUUGACCUCAAAUCAGGUAGGACUACCCGCUGAACUUAA
rnacentral:misc_RNA from 1 species